rnacentral:rRNA from 1 species
UACGUAGGGGGCAAGCGUUGUCCGGAUUUAUUGGGCGUAAAGAGCGUGUAGGCGGCCAUGUAGGUCCGUUGUGAAAACUCGAGGCUCAACCUCGAGACGCCGAUGGAAACCAUGUGGCUAGAGUCCGGAAGAGGAGAGUGGAAUUCCUGGUGUAGCGGUGAAAUGCGCAGAUAUCAGGAAGAACACCCGUGGCUAAGGCGGCUCUCUAGUACGGUACUGACGCUGAGACGCGAAAAGCGUGGGGAGCGAACAGG